UGAGCACGUCAUGUAAUUCUGUGCCUUUGUCCCUGCAAUAAUUCUGGGUGUCACAUGUCCCCUGUCCGCCUGAGCCGGGGACGGAGCAUUCCCAGGGUCUGCGUUAGCUGGGGCCUCGGCAGGAGCCGUCGCCCCCCCUGGGCCCUCACUCACGCGGACACCUGCUGCUUCCAGCCAUCACGUCCCCACCGCUGCUCAGUGCGUGGUAUGCAGUGAUGAGUGUCAGGACCCCGCAGGAACACGUUCUGGUCAUCGCUGGUCCUGGGAAGAUGGGGGCCACGUGGUGCAGCAACCUUGGACUCACCCUACAGCUUGAAACCAUGAAAAGCCAGGCCCAGCCUAGACGUGAUGGACCCCAGCAGCCCUGGAAACAAGAGAAUAAACAUUCAAGGACCCAUCAAGUCUCACUGAUGCAGAGAACAUCUGCUUGGACAUCAGUAUGUCAGCUCACUUUCUACUUCUCCCACUUGUUUUCACGAAGCAUUUGUCAGACCUAGAGUCGGCCUCUUCCUGGGGACAGGAAAACAGCAGGGGUGGUGUGUCUCUUCUUGGGAUCAUACAUCACUCUGUUUCCUGCUUGUUCAUCCUGACAUCUUUGCUGGAGAGAAUCCCCCUGGGUCCCCUCCUGAUGACUGUUCUUAUGUGGAGUUUAUGACUGAAUGACCACCAGCAUCAUUAUUAUGACUGGGACUUUGGGAGCGGAUGCAGGGAGCACAGCUCUGUGUUUCCCUAGUCAAGAGAGAAGAGAGAAGUCAAGAGAGAGGCGUUGAGAACUGCUCCUCACCAUGCGCUUGCCUGAGAGAUGCUGUCAGGCUG